CUUGGAAGCAGCCAUUCAUUUAAAGAGUGCGUAACAGCUCACUAGUCGAGCGGUUCGGCAUGGAUAAUAAUCGGGCAUAAGCAUAUUACCGAAGCUAUGGCAACGAAAGUUGGGUAGGGGAGCAUUCUAUCGGCGCAGAAGCAUUACUGUGAGGUGAUGUGGAGCUUAUAGAAAAGAAAAUGUAGGCAUAAGUAACGAUAAAGCAGGCGAGAAACCUGCUCACCGAAAGACUAAGGGUUCCUCAGCCAUGCUAAUCAGCUGAGGGUUAGUCGGGACCUAACGCGAACCCGAGAGGGGAAGUGGAUGGACAAUGGGUUAAUAUUCCCAUACUUGCUCACGAAUAAAGGGGACGGUUCAGCUAGACUACUGGAGACUGACGGAAUAGUCAAGACCUAGCCUACGGGCGAAGUUGUUGUAGAGUAACUGGAUCCAAGAAAAGCCGAAGUGAAGCAACCCGUACCAUAAACCGACACAGGUAGUCGAGGAGAGAAUCCUAAGGUGCUCGAGUGAGUCGUGGCUAAGGAACUAGGCAAAAUAGUCUCGUAACUUCGGAAUAAGAGACGCCAGCAGCGAUGCUGGCCGCAGUGAAGAGGCCCAGGCGACUGUUUAUCAAAAACACAGGACUCUGCUAAAUCGAAAGAUGCUGUAUAGGGUCUGACACCUGCCCGGUGCUGGAAGGUUAAGGAAGGUGCUUAGCGUAAGCGAAGGCAUUGACUGAAGCCCCAGUAAACGGCGGCCGUAACUAUAACGGUCCUAAGGUAGCGAAAUUCCUUGUCGGGUAAGUUCCGACCUGCACGAAUGGUGUAACGAUCUGGGCACUGUCUCAGCCACGAGCUCGGUGAAAUUGUAGUAUCGGUGAAGAUGCCGAUUACCCGCAAUGGGACGAAAAGACCCUGUGAACCUUUACUAUAACUUCGUAUUGACUUUGAGUAAGUAAUGUGUAGGAUAGGUGGGAGGCUGUGAAGCUGGCACGCUAGUGUUGGUGGAGCCGUUGUUGAAAUACCACCCUUUGCUUACUUGGAGCCUAACUUCUGAAUAAGAGUAAGAAGGACAUUGCGUGGUGGGUAGUUUGACUGGGGUGGUCGCCUCCAAAAGAGUAACGGAGGCUUUCAAAGGUACCCUCAGCACGCUUGGUAACCGUGCGUAGAGUGUAAUGGCAUAAGGGUGCUUGACUGUGAGACCAACAAGUCGAUCAGGUGCGAAAGCAGGACAUAGUGAUCCGGUGGUUCCGUAUGGAAGGGCCAUCGCUCAUAGGAUAAAAGGUACUCCGGGGAUAACAGGCUAGUCUCCCCCAAGAGCUCACAUCGACGGGGAGGUUCGGCACCUCGAUGUCGGCUCGUCACAUCCUGGGGCUGGAGAAGGUCCCAAGGGUUG
rnacentral:rRNA from 1 species